UACGGAGGGGACUAGCGUUGUUCGGAAUUACUGGGCGUAAAGCGCACGUAGGCGGAUUUGUAAGUCAGGGGUGAAAUCCCGGGGCUCAACCUCGGAACUGCCUUUGAUACUGCGAAUCUCGAGUCCGGAAGAGGUGAGUGGAAUUCCUAGUGUAGAGGUGAAAUUCGUAGAUAUUAGGAAGAACACCAGUGGCGAAGGCGGCUCACUGGUCCGGUACUGACGCUGAGGCACGAAAGCGUGGGGAGCAAACAGG
rnacentral:rRNA from 1 species